rnacentral:lncRNA from 1 species
UCUCAUGUUUCUUCCUUAUCAAACAUACUCAAAUUUUAUUUUCUUUCCACUUUUCCAUUCUAUCUUUCUAUCCUUACAUUUUUCCACACAACCAAACACACUAAGGGCUACUUACAUAAGGUCAAAUAAACAAUUAGCAAUUGUAGUCUGCUAGAAAAUUUGUCAUCAAUGCCAAUGGUUCCAAGCCCUCCAUUACCAUGUUUGAGAUUUGUAUAACUAAUAAUGAAGAUAGAGGCAAAAACUAAACCCUCCAAUACCAUGUUCGGGAUUUGUAUAUCUUGACAAAGAUAGCAACAGAAAAUAAAAGUUUAAUUCAUAAUUUGGCCUCUCAAGUAUAUCUUUUUUCUCAUUUUGGUAUUAAAUUUUUUUUUAUCUCAACUAGGUACUAAAACUUUAAAAACGUUAUUUUUUUUGUCCAAAUGUAAAUAGAUGUCUAAAAAAAGAAUGGCCCAAUAAGAAGAAGCUCAACAUUUGAAUUAUUUAAUAUGUUGACUUUUAAACAUUAUAUAAAAUGACAAUAUCUAAGCCUCUUUUAGGAUGCCAUGGAAGAUAUUGUUCAGCCACCCAUGCUUCAGUAACUUAGGUGAUUUACUUACCCUUAUAUCAUGUAAUGUUUUUAUAUUGUUUCAUUACUGGAUCUUGGAAUAUUUACUGUCUACCAAGAAACACAGCUUCAUCUCAACCAGUCAACCCACCCUCCCAAGCUCAUCCAUCACGGCCAGCACCUACAAGACGACUAUCACUUGCAAGGAAUACGUCGUCGGGUAGAUGAAGAGGUAGAGAAAGAAGCAUGCAUAACAUUUUUGGAGUUGGAUUGAGAAAACAGGAAAGCAAAUCCUAAAUGUUAUCUUUCAAUGUCAGAACUGGUUGUUCAUUUUUGUGUCUGGGAAACUGUGUUUAGAAGUUAUUUUGUUUCAAGAAAGUCAAUUGAUUGUGGAACUUCCUACCACCUUCAGGUUAUGUUUCAUUAGAACUACGGCCAUUUCCUACUUAAUGUCUCUUUUCAACACCAAAAUUUGCAUUUGAUUAUAAAUAUUCAACUUAAUGAAGUUCCCAUUCCAAAUUUGUCUUUCUAUUCUGUUUGUGUUUGAUCACCUUCCUACUAUUUUAUUUCAUCAAAAACUAAAUAUUUAUUCGUUCAAAAAAACACUAAACAUUUCACCCAAAAUUUAAAAACAAAUUCAGACUUCUACUUCCCUCCACAUUACUUUGCUAAUAGAAAUCAUUACGUCACGUCCACCCUACAAAGAACUAUUCCAUUUGGUAUUCUAUACAUUCAACUAAACUAAGACUAACUAUUUAUAUAUAUUUUCUGGCUUUUACCUAUAACUAAAUAUUUCACCCAUAAUUAAAAUAAAAAAAUACAGACUUCUACUUUCUCUAAACCUCAACCAAUCAUUGACAUGAUUUUGUUACUAAUAGAAACCAUAAAACCUUAAACUAUUAAUGUUUUCAAAAUUUGUUUAAAAAUAAAAAUUGGAAUUGAAAUGAUACCUUUGUAGUUUGAACAUCCCAAGAACUUCUUCCCUUUACUCCAAGCCCCAAGGUCUAUCAGAACUACAUAUUGGUGCUUUCUUUCCACAAUGACAGUACAUCGGCCUUGAAUCGUUCCAUGAUUUAGAACUUUCGGUGAAAAUUUUCUACAAUUUCAAAUGAAAAGAAAAAUGAAGAUUUGAAUGAGACAAUAAGGGCUUAGAUUGAAUUUCAAACCCUAAAGGGAAAAGGGUACUGAACGACAGAGAGAGGCUACAGUGGUAAUUUUCAAAAAAAAUAACAAUACAUUUCAAAUAUUAUUUUCUUAACCUGGUCUUUUAAGAAAAUAUACAAACAUAUAAAAGCCACAAACACG